rnacentral:lncRNA from 1 species
UAAUGUAAUCGGUUAAGUUUCAUACUUAAACAAUUUUGAAAACCUUUUCCAUUCAAGACAACUCAAUGCACUUAGCAAACAUGUACUGGCAUAGCAACAAGUUUUAAUUGAUUAUAUAAUUAAUGUAAUCGGUUAAAACAUAGUUGUUUUGUCCUUGAUAAUCAAAUGCUGAUAUAUGAUGAAAUUUAACAGAUUAUGCAAACAGUGUAAUCAAUUAUUUCAUGGAGAUAUACAAUGUGCAAUGCGUUUCAACCAAUGAUUCAUAAAUAAAGUUGCUUUUGCCAACUUAACUAAAUACAUUUUAAACUUGUGGUGAAGUUCAAAUCCUAACUUCAAUCAAUAUUUUAAACAAUUUGAUAUUAUCCCUCCAAGCAUGUUAUACAUAUGUAAUCAACCUGGUGUCCUAAAAUUGUUGGGCCUUCCACAAUUUAGCCUACAUUAGAUGAGCUACCUUAUGUUGUAAUGCCUUGUCUUCUCUGUGCCUUCUAUAGUCAUGGAUCCACCUAAAUUUUGAACUUGGUCUUGGUCUUAAUCAUUGUAAUCAUAUCCUUGGGCUUCGAUGUACAUGUCAUUCCCUUGCUACCUCUUGAGAAAGAUUUGUUGUCAAACCCAAAUCUUCAUCCUGUUGCGAAAGAUUUGUUGUCAAACCGAAAUCUUUAUCCUCUGCAGUAAAAGGAGAUAAAUAAAAAACAUUAAAAGUGCUACUAACAUUAUACUCACAUGGAAAAUCAGUCUUAUAGGAAUUGUCAUUUAUCAUUUUUAGCAUUCAGAAUGGCCUAUCCCCUCUAGGUUGGAUCUUGGAUUUUCUUUAUUAAGGGAAUCAUCUUCCUCAUAUGUAUUGAUAUGGAACAACAUGCCUAGAUAGAAAAGAAAACUAAGAACUAAACAAGAAUAAUUAAAAAUGGAAUUAAAAGACUAAAAAUGAAAGAGAGAAAGGAAAGGAAACUUAGGAGAAUGAAGCCAUAUCACUUGGAAGGAUCCAAGAUAAGUGCCAAGGUUUAAUAUUUUUUUCCAAGGUUUAAUAUUUUUUUCUUUUUUGUAAUAAGAGCUCUAAGAAAAGUAGAAAUAGUUUUGUUAACCACUUCAAUUUGUCCAUUGGUUUGGGAAUGACAUGCAAUUGAAAACAACAACUUGGUUUUGAUCUUACUCCCACAAAGUUUGCCAAAAGUGACUAAGAAAUCUGGAAUCCUGAUGACAUACAAUACUCCUAAGUAAACCAUGCAAUUUCACCAUCUCCUUGAAAAACAAAUCAGCAAAAUGACAUGUGUCAUCUACCUUUUGUCAUGCUGUGGAGUCAUAGUAAAAAACAUGUCAACCACCACAAAAUUUUAGUCCUUUCCUAUCUUGGACUGAGGCAAACCUAGAACAAAAUUCAUAGAAAUCUCAACCUAAGGAUGUUCAGGAACUGGUAAUGGAGUAGACAAACCAUGUGGCAUAACUCUUGAUAUAGCCUUCUUGCAUACAAGACAUUUAUCAGUACACUUAUGCAUGUUAUGCUUCAUGUGUGCCUCUCUAAUAAGCUAGUCCCUAACUGAACCAUUAGGUACACAAAGUCUCUUACCCCAUAACAACUACCUACAUGGCGUAAACUGCCCAUAAGAUGGAGUAUGAGAACAUGUUUGAUAUUUAUAAGAAAAGUCAGUAUCAUGCUCGCACAAUUCAUUAGUGCACUCAAAACCAAGAAACUUAGUUUCAAGGUUAGACAAUAAUGCAUGGCUACAAUAGACUACUAUUACAUUAUUAUUACCUUUCUUAUGUCUAAUAACAUGAAAAUUGUUCAAGAAAUUCCACCCACUUGCCUCUUGUUCAAGUGUCCUUUCCCUUUCAAAUAUUUCAAAAAUCACAAUGAAUAAUAAGUUCUUUGGACAAGAGAUAAUAAUGUAAAAUUCACAAAACUCCAAUUAAAGCAUAAAAUUCCUUAUUAUAUACAAAAUAGUUAAUAAGACCUCCAUUCAGUUUAUCACAAAAAUAUGCAAUGAGAUGCCCCUCUUGAAUCAACACAGCCUUGAUGCCUACCUGAGAUGGAUCACAUUCAAACUCAAAGGAUUUAAGAGAAUUAGGCAAAGCAAGAACAAGAGAAUUAUUAAACUUUUCUUUCAAAGCAGUUAAAGCCUUCUCUUGUUGAUCACUCAAAAGCACCAUUUUUCUUUAUAAUUUCAUUAAGCGAUGUAACCAAAAGGCUAAAAUACUUAAUAAGAUGUGAAUGCUCCUUACUCACUUACAUUUUUAGAGUUUGACCAAUUUUGAAUGGUUUUCACCUUCUUUUGAUCAACAUGCAGUCCUUGUGAGCUAAUAAUAAAUCCAAGAAAAAUAACAUGGUCCAUGCAGGACACACAUUUUUCCAUGUUAGCAUACAAUUUCUCAAGUAUAAGUGCUUCCGAAAUACACCUCAAAUGCACAUCAUGGUCAUUAUAAGAUUUGCUAUAUUAUUUUUGAAUAUAGUGAAAACUAUGUAAGCGAUUAGUCUCUUGUGUUGAAUACAUACAUUUGGUUCUCUAUUUAUAAUAAAAGAAAUAUGGGCUAAGCUCAAAGUACAAAUAAAAAAUAAUAACAAACAAACUAAAGAUAAAAGAUAAAGAAAAGAUAAAGAUAAUAUAUCUAACACUUUCUCUCAUGUUGGUGAAUACAAAUCAUAUGUACCAAGCUUGUUACAAAUCUAAUCAAUUAUCAGCCCCCGUAAAAUCAUUUGUACCAAGCUUGGUCGUCUCAUGAAAGAUUGGAUUAAAACUAAUAUGAAGAGCAACUUCGUUGUCAAAUAUAAGUGUCAAACAAGCUCACAAGUGGUUGAGGCCAUAGCUCUAUAUUCUGCUUCUGCACUAGAUCUUGCCACAACACUCUAUUGCGUGCUUUUCCCAAAGAUCAAGUUACUACCAAUGGAGACACAAUAUUCGGAUGUAGUCCUUCUAUCAGAAGGAGAUCCUGUCCAACUAGCAUCAAAAUAACAAACCACUCUUGUAUGGUUUUUAGAGCCAUAUAACAACCCUUUUCUAGGAGAUCCUUUAAUGUACUUUAAUAUACGAAUAACUACAUUCCAAUGAUUUUCACAUGGAGAAUUAAGGAAUGUGCUUACCACACUAACUGCAAAGGAAAUGUCAGGACGAGUAACUGUAAGAUAAUUCAAUUUUUCAACUAGUUUUCUAUAUUUCUCGGGGUCUGACAUAGGCUCCCCUGUUUUGGUAGAAGUUUAGUAUUGGAAUCCAUGGGUGUGUCCACAGAUUUUGAAUUCAUCAAUUUAGUUUCCUCCAAAAUAUCUAAUGCAUACUUCCUUUGAGAUAUAACAAUAUCAUCGUUGGAUUGUGCCACCUCAAUACCCAAGAAAUAUCUAAGUUUGCCAAGAUCUUUGGUCUGAAAAUGGUUGCAAAGAGAUGCCAUGAUUGUCACUGUUUGUAAGAACAAUGUCAUCAACAUAUAUUACCAAGUAGAUACAUCCAACACUUGAUGACGGUAAAAGAUUGAAUGAUCUGCCUUACACCGAGUUAUACCAAAUUGUUGAACAAAGUUACUAAAUUUUCCAAACUAGGCCCUAGGAGAUUGUUUUAGGCCAUAUAAGGAUUUGCGAAGACGACAUACCAACCCAGAAGACUCUCCCUAAGGAACAAAUCUUGGAGUUUGUUACAUAUGAAUCUCUUCUUACAAAUCUUUGUUAAGGAAUGCAUUUUUGACAUCCUGUUGUUAAAGAAGUUAUUGUUGAAGAGUCACCACAACUAUAAAUAAACAAACAGAUGUCAUCUUUGCCAUUGAAGAAAAAGUAUCACCAUAAUGCAAUCCAAAAAUUUGUGUGUAACCUUUGGCCACAGGACGAGCUUUGAGGCGAUAAAUAGUUCCAUCAGGACUAACUUUGAUAGAAAAACCCCACCUGCAACCAACAAUAGAUCUUCUAAACAGUAAUGGGACAAACUCCCAAGUUCCAUUAUUCUAAAGAGUACUUAAUUCAUCUAGCAUGGCCUAACGCCAACCAGGAUAGGCUAAGGCAUCAAUAACAAAUUUUGGUAUGGUCACAGAAGAAAUAGACAAAAGGAAGGUAUAAAAGGUGAAGACAGUCCAUGAUAACUUAAAGUAAUAUAAUGUGGAGAGAGAUUACUUGUAAAACAUAUACCUUUUCGGAGGGCAAUUAGAAGGGUAGACUCAGUUAUCGAAGCCGAAGGAGACAAGGUAGUUGGCACUUGAAUUUAGUUGGAAGGGUAGACCCUUGUGCUUCGUACUUAUAGCAACCCCUUAUGCAAGGUCUAUCUCACCCUUCAAUGUUCUUGACACAAUUUAAAAAUGUAGAAAAGAGUAAAUGAAGACUCAAAUGGAAUAUAUUUGAUUCUUUAAUAUUGUUAAACAAGAAAUCAUAAGGAUACAACUAUCCCACUGCCCAGAGAAAAGCUCCUAAGAGAAACCGAAAAUGGCUCCCUCUCCAAUUAAGCAUCAAAAUAAAUGCCUCCCCAAAACCUACCUCCCUGAUCCUUUUAAACAACCAAUACCCCUUUCUUUCUCUUCUAACCAACCUAUUCCUCCCUAGUGUGCCACGUCACCCUUCUUAGUCGUUUUCCUCUCAUAUACUUUGCCCAACCUUUUCUUACUCUUCUCUUCUUGGAUCAAGGGUUUAGCCUAAUUGUAACAUCCUAUUUUAAUAGUGUAAAACUAUUAAAAUAAAAUGUACAUACAUGAUAACUUACAAGGAACCUGAGACUAAUAUAGUAGAAGAUUAUAUACCCUUAAAGAGCAAAAACUAUCUAUCAUAUUGCUUCUCUCUCAACCAACUGUUGAAUCAACUAAAAAGAUGUCCCCUUCCUAAGCUAACAUUGGUUAAGGUGAUGAUUGCAAAGGAGAAAACAGCACACAGACAGACAAAACACAAAAACAAUGAUAAGCUAGUGAUACAAAACAUUUCAUAAUAUACUUAAGUAUUUUAAACAUUCCACAUAUGAUACAGGUAACACAAUUUAACCAACCAAACACUUUACACAUGACCAUACUUUAACAGAACUAUCCGUACUUAGAAUGAAUGUCGGACUAUGGCAGGUUGUGCACUUGUGGUAGCUUUUACUGCUUUGCAAAGUCAUUGCCAAUGGGUUUCACCCUACCACACUCACAAGGUUAGUCUGUUCCACGCCUUGAAUCAUACUAGAAGCACCCAAGACUAAGACCUCCUGCUACUCUCACCACUUGUGUCAAUCUUCUCUACUUGAGAAUGAAAGACCAUUAGAGUCUUAGGAUAACCCUUAAGACUGAGCUCCCUGCAUUCAUACUAAUGAUACUUGAAACCACCACUGAGAAGUUCCUCCUUGGAACUCUCUUCCAUACCUUUGAAACCAUUGAGAUCACCGCGCAUUCACAUAGUACACCAAUACAUGAGACUACUAAUCAUACAUUAGAAAUAGAAACACACAUACAAGUCAUCAGAAAUGACAUAACACAAUUUCUUCAUGACAUCUUGAUAGUCACAUUUAGAUAAGGAAAACAGCUUUGAAACUCUCACCAACAACUCUGGAAGGGUCCAAAACCCCCUAAAACGAUAUAAAGAAUGUUAAAAAUGGACAUUCAGUUGAAAAAAAUUAAAAUCUGGCUGAGUGGUGUUGAGCGCCCCAAAAAGGGGCCCGGGCGCCAAACCCCUAGAACAGAGCACUCAAGGGGCACUCUGGCGAGUUCUUCUCGCAACAAUGACACCCAAGGGCCCUUGGAGAGCACUCAGCACUGCACCAGGUUCCAAAAUUCACCUAUUUUGAAUUUGGUGACCCUUUACACAAGUUUAAAUGAUUCCUAAACACUCUUAGGCGCUGAGAAACAUCUAAAAACAAACCUCUAACUUGAAUUGAUCACUCCAAACCUAAAUUGACCUAUGAAAACCCAAAUUCACUCUUAUAAGCUACCCAAACUCAAAUCUACACUUUCUAGUCCCCAUAUCAGUUUCCUAACUGUAUAACCAGGUCCAAAUACACUUGUUAGUACAUUCCAACACCUCAGAUUGCUGAUAGUCACUCUACUUUAAAUUUCCAACCCCCAAAACCUCCAAAAUGAACCAAUCUAUGAAGCAAUUUUCACCUUUCUGACAGACUUUUACUGAUUUGAAUAUCUAUACAAGUUUUAAUUGGUCCCAUAACCUGUUCCAAACUCUCCAAAACAAUUUAAAUCCCUUACUUCAAAAUCUCACUAUCCAAAACUCCAUUUUCACACUAAAAGCACCCUAAGCUUCAAAUUUGCACUACCUCUAUGAUAGAUUAGAUUUUAAUCAUAUUAUACCUCCAAGAAGUCUUAAUUUACCUCAUGAUAGCACCUCAAUAACAGUUUCCUCACAUCAGCCCCAAAUUCUCAAACUCACACCUUCAACCCCCCCCCCCCCACCUUGUCACCAUGGUUGAUUAAGCACCUCCUGAUCAUCAAAGAGAUGUCUCAGGAGUUAGAACGCUUGGAGAAGAUAGAGAACUCUAAAAAGUGAUUUCUAGAGAAAUAAUGUUUUAAAAUAAUGAAACUCAUUUAUAACAAAACUAUUUAUAAUAAAUUGGCUCUAGUUGAAUAUAUAUAACUUUAAGAUCUUUAAUUAUUCAAUCUAUAAAUAUUAACCCGACUUUAGUACACAUUUUACCCAGUUAACGUUUCAACAUAUGUACAUUUAUCAUUAUCCACAUACAUUGUGUUUUAUUAAGGAAUUCAUCAAUCCGUAACUCUCUACAUCACACAGCUGAAAUCUUGUUUUUAUUCUUCCCCUUUCUUUCUAAAUGAUAUUCGAGUAGAAUUUUAAUGCUGUAGUGUGUACUUCAUUUUUCAAGGUUAACUUUACAAGUACACAUUAUACUGAAUCAUGGGCUUUCAUUAGUGAACCCUUCAUUUCAUAUACCUUUCAUUAUUUUGGACCAUAUAAGGGUAAGAAAGUGACCUUUUAGUUAUUCCCCUUGUCUUACUUUUCCCUCUCAACCCAGAAACACAGGAUACCUAAUCAUUAUUCUGUUUUUCAUAAAUAUUUGAAUUAUUUUCCUAAUUCACGACCACUGUCUCUUUCAGCAAUAUGUUAAAGGUAUAUCUGCAACUGGGAUGCAAUCUAACUAUGGUUUUGAUGGUCAACUCAAUGCAUGUUGGACACAUAAAAUGACUGAUGAUGAGAUUGAGGUGAUCAAAUCUGCUGGUUUUCUUGUUUCAAUCAUCCAUGGCAGGUUUGUACUGUUUCAUAGGAAUGUCAGUUUCACAAUAUAAAUGAGAAUUGACCCCAGGCAUACAUAAACAGAUCAUUCAGACACAAAUUGUGCUUGAAAUUGAAAACACUGUAUAUCAACUUAUGCUUUUUGUAGUUUUAUCCAAUCAUGGAAAUAUUUUCUUCACGUUCAGGCAUGACAUAAUUGCUCAGAUAUAUUAUGCAAAAAGACUUGCUCAGAGGCUUUAUCCAGUGGCUAGAAUGGUAGAUCUUCAUGGAGGUCAUCUAGUAAGUCAUGAGCGGCCUGAAGAGGUAUAUUUUCCUUCUAAUAUGAUAUAUUAUAUUCUUCAUGAUUUGAGUUAAUAACAUACUGGCAAUUUGCACACUGUACUAUGCCUCUAAAGUUGCAUUGGAAAUGGACUAAAGCUUUUCUAAUUCAGGUUAAUCAAGCACUAUUUGACUUGAUCAAAGCAUCAGAAGUGAAUACGAACCCACAUGAUUGGACUAAUUUGCCAAAGACACAGUCUUGUAAGUAUUCCAGGUUAUAGAUUAUGUUGCACUUGGCAAUUUAGUACGAGCUCUCACUAUCAUGCCAUGACUGUUUUCUGUAGCUUGGUGGGUUGUCCGUGUGAGGUAAAAAUGUCUAAGCUCCAAGCAGAGACAGACCCACGUUCGUGGGUAAGGGGAGUGUUCCCACUCAAAAUUUACCACUAUCAUACAUGAUUUUCCAUUUUUUAUCCCAGAACCUUAGAAGGUUUGCCCUAAAACAAGAUCCCUAGGUAAAAAUCUAACUUUACAAGCCACAUCUUAGUUUCCUGUUUUGGACUUCACCCUACUUGUCCAUUCUCACUAGCAACAACCGAAACCCAAUUUCUUUUACAAGUGUUAACUGAUAUUUGGUUUCGUAUAUGAUUAGAUAAUUUAAUUAUUAUCCAACGGCCCCAGGUCUUCAUAAAGAACAGAGACAUGUUUCAUCAGUGCAUACCCAGUCGUAGUUGUGUUUACAGGUGAAUUUCUUAGAGAUGAGCUAGCUCUCAUUCACAGCAAAAGAAAAAUGGUGUUGCUUUCUGUGAAAAAACUAAAGUGUAUCAUUACUUGAAAAUGCAAAAAGAUUUAUUGGGCAUGUUGACCGAAAGGUUUCCUCCCACUAGGCCAAAGGUUUUUCAGGUCUGUCGCUGGCUCCCAAUUAGUAAAGACGUGGUGUGCUAUCAUAUGCUUCGUUAUUUGAAGUACAAUACAUAUAUUACACUAACUGCAUUGCAGACCUGUGAUUAAGAAAGUGUAUAUUAGAAGGGUUGGUAUGGGUAGCAGUUGGUUGGCCCAGUUAAGGGUAGCCUUUCUGUUAUAUGUAAGUCACCAACGCGCUAUGAAACGGGAAAAACUGUAUAAUCUUUAAACCUGGGACUUAGGAGAAUUUGAAAAUUGUGGGGAGUGGAUCAAGACCUCUCAAACCUCUGGAGCAAUGUAUCAUUUUCAUUGGGAGAUUUUCCCUAUUAUUCAUUUAAUAAAAUUUCAAUUUCCACACUUUUUUUUUUUUUUAUGUUGGUUCUGUCACAAUAUAUUUUUAUAAAUUUAAUCUUACGGCGCUCAAGUUGCAAUAAUCUAUAUGUAUGAUAUUGGAGAAGAUGUGUCGCUCAAGACAAUCUUUAGGUGCACACUUUUUUUUUCCUAAUAAGAUAUACUUUAUACUGAUCUUGUACAGGGUGGAAAGAAAAAAGGGUGUUGAUUAUAACAAACAAUCAGGCUGGAAGGAAUGACUCCCUUAAAUGCCACGUGUUAGAAAAACUGCAUAUCUUCCUAUUGUACUUCUUUGGUCUCCUUAUGUUAGCAUUUGAAUAUGGAAUAAAGCUUCUAAGAAGAUUAAAACCAGUUCGAGUUGGAGGUUCCACCUUGUAUACUGAAAGUCAAUGACUCUUGUUAUUGGGUACCUGACUAUGACUAUUUUCUUUUCUGCAUUAUGGUAAUUGAUUUGGUUACUUAAAAAGAUUUGAGGCUGGAAUUCUUAUCUCCUACUCGUUGCAGGUGUGUAUUGUAUAAUUUGAUAUAUCCUGAAGCGAGAGAGAUCACAGCAAACUGAGUCUCAUGCUUUCAGCAAACUGAAUUUCAACGAGCCAGAAAGCACAAACGAGAAUCCUGGAAUUCUGCAAUUUGAGGCAUGGCACUAAAAUAUCCCUUUAUUAGCAAGAUGAAUUCCAUGUGCUUCCCAGAGCCAAUAAAGGGGAUGGACAUCCACUUUUCUUUUUGUACACUCUAGUGUAAUAUAAUUGAUCGAAUCUAACCCCGCAAAUUCUGCUCCUAUCAGAGUUUGCUUAAUAUAUUAAGAUAAAACCUAUAGAAACCAAAUCACACGAAAAAGGAGUAAGAUGAUUCUGCAUGCAUUCUUUUACCCCAUGAUUUAAACGAAUCACGGGAUUGUCUAACUCUUGGGCCUCUUAGCAAACCUCAAUUGAUUUUCAUAGUUGUUCACAACAUCCAUGUCCUUUACUUUUUCCUUUUUAUGGAAUUUUUGGUUGAAUUCAGGAUACAGAAAAUUUGUAGGACAAUUUUAAUUGGUACGUUUGGUGGUACAGUGAUUAACACGGAAGGAGAAUUAAAAACUAGGUGGAUUUUAUUGAUAUUUUUUUCUUAUUCAUUUCUAUUUUGUUUUCUCUAUCUCUUCUAAUUCCUAUUUUUUUUUUCUUUCAAACUAACACCCUUAACUUUGAUCUUGUUUCCCUCUGGUAACAUUAAUAAUGCUUGUAAACAUUCUAGCAACAAAUUAUGUUUUAGUAAGAAAUAUGAUUUGAUUCAAAUGAUAGGAUAUAAUGUGAUAAAAUAUAAUGGGUGCAGGAUGUAAGGAAAUAGUUUAGGAAUUAAUUAGAAGUUCGUUAGUUGAUUGGGUUGCUUUUAUAAAAAGGUAGGGGUUUUGGUCGCAUGAUAGUUUUUGGAUAAUUCUGUGUGUAGACAGGAGGUUGUUCUUGUGGAGGGAGAGUGUUUCUUUGAGAGUUAGGUGUUGUACCUGUUUAUUCUUUGAUUCUAGAGUAACAUGGGUUUAUUUCCCAGUUAUUUGGGUGUGUGUGUGUUGUUUUGAGUGAUAGAUAGACUUUUGUACUAAAGAGUUCUAUUAAAUUUGGUUCGACUUGUUGGAUACCAGGGGAGUGGAGAGGGAUGGAGGGCAAACUAAACACCUUGGAGGGAACAGUAGAGGGCGACUCAAUGCUAUGGAGACAACAAUAGAGGAGUUCAUGGCGGAAUUGAGAGGGGUGCAUCAAGAACUCCAAGAAAUCAACAAAAUUCUUGGAAGAAGAACUUAGAACCAGUACAGGAGUUCAGAAAGAAGUGAGAAAUCUAUUAUGAAAGGAAAGAAAGAUAGAAAAACAGGUAAGGAUGUUGUGAAAAAUAGUCGGCAAAACAUCAAGAAAGGCAAGAAAUUCUAUAAAGAAGGAGAGUACUUGGCUAAUGAUGAAGAGUAGAAGGAAGAAAGAUAUUCACAAGGCAGGAAACCAGAUGAAGAAUCACUUUUCCCAUGGGUUGAAGGAGUGGAAUUGUCCACAAUUAAAGGGAAUGGCACCUAGGGUCAAACAAUAAGGGCAACAAAUGUUUUAGAAGUUCAGAACAUCAAAUGAGCAACAAAGGUACACCAAACAGUCAAUAACAUGGAAGAAAAUGCAGUCCAAGGGUUCAAGACCUGGCAACAAAAAUCCAAGAACCUUUCAUAGAAAGAUCUUCCAAAAGACCUCUAUAGGAGUUGUAGGGGCAGAGAAUGCAACACCACUUUUGAAAAGAAUGGGAGUAGAAAACGGAAUAUCAUUGUUGGAAAAUGGGCAAUAAUUAAACAAUAAAGGGUAGAAGAUUACUGUUAAAUAUAAUGAAAAUUAUAUAUUGGAAUUAAUCCCUUGUGUUAAAUACACAUAUAGGAUUCUCUAUUUAUAAUAGAAGAAAUAUGGGCUAAGCCCAAAUACAAAUGAAUAUGUAAGAAUAAAAUAAAAUAAAAUAAGAACAAUGUUUCCCUAAUAAACAUAUAGGGACUAUAUUUCCCUAAUUAACAUAAACACAAUAUAAACUAAAUAUAAUAUCUCUAACACUCCCCUUCAAGCUGGAGCAUACAGAUUAUAUGGACCAAGCUUGGAAUAAAUAAAAUCAAUUUGAAAUAUAUGAUCUGUCUUCAAGAGUGUGCGGCAAACAGAUGCGCAAUCACAUGUCGACGAACAACUAACAGCAAUUUAUGAAAAGUAGUGGACAGUUGUGAAAUUUCAAAUAGCACCAUGAAACUUCAAGUGGGAUGACUUUGACAAAGGAGAACAAUGACAAACUCCAGGGACUAGAUUGCCAUCAAGUAAGGAUGGGGCUUGCAUCAAAACUACAGGGACUGUCAUCACUGACUGAUGGGGCCUGUAGUGGCUAAAAGCGACAAAACUACAAGGACUGCCAUCACUGACUGAUGGGGCCUGUAUACAGGGACUGCCAUCAUGAUGGGGCCUGUAGUGGCUAAAAGCGAUAAAGCUGCAAGGACUGCCAUUCUAGUGGAGUCUGAAAGCCUAAAACCUGGCUGGAAACAUACUCCCCCUCACGACGAACGACGGAAAUGACGGCGUGCCGAUGACAGAUCGUGAAAGUGGAAGAUCAUAAUGAGCUCUUAUUCAUCAAAGCACCCAAAACACAAAUAUGAUAGAUUUGACAAAGGGUUGGUGAAAUUGUUUCAACCCAUAAUUUUAGUGUUGAAAUUUCUUGGUGUUAACCACUGACUGUGCUUGAAGACCUUUCAGAAUAGAGAAGAAGAUAGUGGGAGCAGUAGAGGUAGGACUAGGUGUUGGUGCAUCAGUGGCACAAGUGGCAGAGACGACGACCGGAGACGGUGCCGACGACGGUGGCCGGAGAUGACGGUCGGAGACGACGGCCGGAGACGGUUGUCGGAGACGGUGGCCAGAGACGGUGGCCGGCAGCGGCGGACUACCAGUUACGGUGGCUGGCGGCAGUGGACGACCGGUGACGGUGGCCGGAGACGGUGGACAGGCUGCAGGUGGCGGCUGGUGGCGAGCGGCAACGGGCAGUGGCGGACAACAACACCGGACAAAUGCGAGACAGAAACCAGAGAUUGCCCAUUGAAGUAUAAACGCACAGGUUGAAAAAGAAACUUUUACGGGGGGCCGCCGAUGCCACGGGCGGCAACAAAUACAAAGUAGAAAAGGAUCAGAAAACCUACUCUGAUACCAUGUUAAAUAUAGUGAAAAUUAUAUAUUGGAAUUAAUCCCUUGUGUUAAAUACACACAUAGGAUUCUCUAUUUAUAAUAGAAGAAAUAUGGGCUAAGCCCAAAUACAAAUGAAUAUGUAAGAAUAAAAUAAAAUAAAAUAAGAACAGUGUUUCCCUAAUAAACAUAUAGGGACUAUAUUUCCCUAAUUAACAUAAACACAAUAUAAACUAAAUAUAAUAUAUCUAAUAAUUACAUUUAAGAUUUGGAUGUGGGAAAAAAUAACAGGGGUGAAUUUUAUUAUGCUAUUGAUGUGCUUCCUAGUAAUAAUACACAACAUGAUGGUUUAUUGGAUAUGGAUCUUCUUUAUAUCCAUAAAUAUAUUGGUAUUCUUAAAGAGGUAGAGUUUUACUUGAGAGUUUGGUAGCAGUAACAUGGUCUGGGAGUGGGGGAAAAUUCAUCCAAGAAUUCAAGAUAUUGGUGUCACAAGUAAGUAAAACACUAGAAUAUCAAUUACAUGAAUUUUUCUUUAUAGGGCUGCAAUCUAACAUUCAUAGUUGGUUGCCACAAUAGGAUCUAAAUAACUUGAUUAGAGAUUCACAAAGUUCUCUAAUUAUGGGAGAAAGCCCAACAGUGAAGAAUCACACUCUCUGUAGGGAAGAAAAAACCAAAACAAAAAGGAAAUUUGGAAUAGAAAAAUAUAGUGUGAUGGAGGAGGAAGGGGAUGCAAUAAUAAAGAGAGUUGAAGGCUGAGAUGUAACUAAGCAACAAUUAAUGACAUGGGAAUGUUGGGAUUCCAAAUUACUAGGUUCAGAAUUUGGUAUGCAAAAACCACUUUCAUAUUGACCACCACCUAUGCCUCCAGAUCUAAACUUGCAAGCAGUAGCCAAUGAGUUCCCUUCAUAUGAUAACACAUUGAUGAAGAUGACCAAUGAGAUUAAGUUUCACGGUUCAAACCUUGAGGACAAGGUUGUUUUGCAACGGGGUAUAAUGAUAUGAUAUAAUGUGAUAAAAUAUAACAGGUGCAGGAUAGAAGGAAAUAGUUUAGGAAUUAGUUAGAAGUUGGUUAGUUGGUUGGAUUGCCUUUAUAAGAAGGCAGGGGUUUUGGUGGCAGUAUAGCUUUUGGAUAAUUCUUUGUGUGUAGACAAGAGGUUGUUCCUGUGGAGGAAGAGUGCUUCCUUAAGAGUUAGGUGUUGUACCAAUGUAUUCUUUAAUUCUAGAGUAAUACAAUUUUGUUUUCUAGUUAUCUGAUUGUUUGUGUGUGCUAUUUUGAGUGAUAGAUAGGCUCAUGUACUAAAGAGUUCUAUCAUAUUCAACCAGUGUAUUCUUUAUGUGCACUCAACUUAAUUGUGUCCGGUAACACUUCCAUUUCUUGAUAUUGUGAUAAUAAUAAGAUUAAAACCUAUUAGGUUUUAUGGUACCAUGAAUUCUAUUGGAAGUUUAACAUUUAUUAGAGAUAAAGUUAAUUUAAAAUAUAUAUAUAUAUAUAUAUAUAUAUAUAUAUAUAUAUAUAUAUAUAUAUAUAUAUAUAUAGUCUUAUAAACUUGUUUUGUGGAAUUGAGUUAGAUUUAAAUUCACUUUGUAAUAUAGUAUGAGAAUUAUAAACUAGAGUUUAUUUUAACGAGAUUUGAGCUUGCUUAACAUAUAAAUUAGUUUCACGUACGAAAUAUAUAUACCUAGACAUAAAGAAAAUGUGUUGAAAUUUAAUUUAUAAUUUAAGUUAAAUUUAAAUUUCACCUUUUAGGAAUUAAUUCAAAGCUAAUUCAAUCUUAAAAAGAUUGAUUGGAAUUAACAAGCUUAUAACCAUUUUAUGUCAAACAACAACAAUGAUCCCAAUAAUGUUGUCUCUUUACUGAACAUGUCGCCUUUUAUAACUUUUUGGUUGGUAUCUCAAUUUUUAUUUUUAUUUUUGUUUAAAAUCCAUUCAGAUAAAUUCGGGUUUCUACCAUUCGGCUUGAUCACUCUAUUCAAGGAAGUCUAUAAUUUAUUUAGCUAAUUACUACUUGUCUAUAUGUAUUUUAUCUUCACCGAAACGCACUAGAUGUUACAAUCAUCAAAACCUAACAGUAAUAUUUCUAGACUACUGUGGCUCAUUCAAUUGUAGUUGAAUUAUAUAAAGAAGUACAAAGCUUUAAAAGAGACCUAAUUCUUGCAGCGGUAUUUAAUAACACAUGACUGACAAAAGCUGACUAAGAUUGAUUAAAUUAAGAGACCAAAACUAAUAAAUAAAAACACUAAAAGUAAAUUUUUGAAAAAGCAAGGAAUUAAAAGCAUGGUUCAUUACAAAAGUUACAUGAAAUUCAUAAUUCCUGUAACAAAAAUCUACACAAUGUGACGUCAACAUUUAAGGUAACGACAAGGAAAAAUAUAAAAAUGAUAACCCAAAAACCAGAGUAGGUAUUAUAAAAAGAAGUUAUGUUUAUAAGUUUUAUACAUAUUUUGAUUGCUUUAAUAAUUCUCAUAUUUCUAAUAAAAACAGGCUUAGUAUAACUUUUCUGUUUUUUAAAAACUAUUUUAUUUAAUUCUAUUCCAACAUAUAAUUUGAAAUUUCAAACAGACCUCUUUUUUUCUUUAUUAGCGAAUCUCUCUAAAUUUUGUAUGCUAAGAGAAAGGAACAUGGAUUACCAAUAAAUUUAUUUUCACAGUAUAAAUCACACUCAAUAAAUCGUCCUCACAGCAAGUGAAGAUAAGGUGUUUAACAACAAUACCUAUAUCAUAACUUUCCUAACACCUAUAACUUUCCUAAACUAACAUACGUGUUGAAUAAUAGAUGAUAAAAAGAAAAUAAACGGUAAUACGGCCUCUGCAUCGUAUCGUAUGAAUAGGAAUUUGUGUCCAACAUCAAGAAUGGUGAAGAAAGCGUACCUGGUAGCUGGGUUGGUUUUUCUGAGACGUGAAUGAGGAAUUUGAAUAAAGAAGAAAGGGGAAAGAUAAAUGACAGAGAGAAUAUGUUUGAUACCAAAUAAUAUACCUCACUCGCUAGCAAAGGAAAGAAGCUCUAAGCAAAUAUUCCGCAGGAAUAUGCUCAGUCCCAUGAAAUUC